rnacentral:rRNA from 1 species
GAUGAACGCUGGCGGCGUGCCUAAUACAUGCAAGUCGAGCGAACAGACGAGGAGCUUGCUCCUCUGACGUUAGCGGCGGACGGGUGAGUAACACGUGGAUAACCUACCUAUAAGACUGGGAUAACUUCGGGAAACCGGAGCUAAUACCGGAUAAUAUAUUGAACCGCAUGUUUAAUUAGUGAAAGACGGUUUUGCUGUCACUAAUAGAUGGAUCCGCGCCGCAUUAGCUAGUUGGUAAGGUAACGGCUUACCAAGGAAACGAUGCGUAGCCGACCUGAGAGGGUGAUCGGCCACACUGGAACUGAGACACGGUCCAGACUCCUACGGGAGGCAGCAGUAGGGAAUCUUCCGCAAUGGGCGAAAGCCUGACGGAGCAACGCCGCGUGAGUGAUGAAGGUCUUCGGAUCGUAAAACUCUGUUAUUAGGGAAGAACAAAUGUGUAAGUAACUAUGCACGUCUUGACGGUACCUAAUCAGAAAGCCACGGCUAACUACGUG